CAUGAGUUCUGUUUGAUGUGUUGUUUCUUGGAUAAAGGAAGUUGCUUGUUUUAAUGGUUUUCUUAAUUUUUGGUUGGGGUUUUCAAGUAUGGUGGUGUUUAAGAAUCAGCAAGGUGCUUUCUGGAAAGAAUUGAAGAUUGUGAUGGGCAUUGAAGAUUAGCAUUGUGAUGAAAAAGACUGUCUUUGCCUUGACACUAUCUAUCCAAGCCAUGUCAUCAAGACAUAGGAAAGAAUGAAAAUCUUGUUCAAUCUGCAUUCUCUCUUACACCUCCCCUUGAAGCUUUUGGUUUCUCUCUUGACUAUGUGUGUUCAAAGUCCAAGCACCAGCUCAGCUUGUCACUUGCACAAAAUUAGUCACCAUACCCACUGCAUUGAUCUUGAUAUUUGUUAAGAAUUAUUCAAUAUAUCAUGGACCUAAUUUUUAUUUUGUCCAAGUUGAAAUUGUGGGUGACCCCCUAAGUUAAGGAAAAUGAGGGCCCUUAAUCAAUGACUCUAGUUAUCAAAAACAGAGAUGGGUGUUUGGUGGAGU
rnacentral:lncRNA from 1 species